CAGGCCUAACACAUGCAAGUCGAACGGGGUAGCAAUACCUAGUGGCGCACGGGUGAGUAACGCGUGGAUAAUCUGCCUUGGAGUGGGGGAUAACUAGUCGAAAGAUUAGCUAAUACCGCAUAAGACCACAGGAGCUGCGGCUCUAGGGGUCAAAGGUUUUUCGUUCCAAGAUGAGUCCGCGUAAGAUUAGCUAGUUGGUGAGGUAAUGGCUCACCAAGGCGACGAUCUUUAACUGGUCUGAGAGGAUGAUCAGUCACACUGGAACUGAGACACGGUCCAGACUCCUACGGGAGGCAGCAGUAGGGAAUAUUGCACAAUGGAGGAAACUCUGAUGCAGCGACGCCGCGUGAGUGAUGAAGGCCUUCGGGUCGUAAAGCUCUGUCGCAGGGGAAUAACACAAUGAAUGUACCCUGUAAGAAAGGAUCGGCUAACUUCGUGCCAGCAGCCGCGGUAAGACGAGGGAUCCUAGCGUUGUUCGGAAUUAUUGGGCGUAAAGCGGAUGUAGGUGGCUUUGUAAGUCAGAUGUGAAAGCCCAGGGCUCAACCCUGGAAGUGCAUUUGAUACUGCGAAGCUUGAGUGUCGGAGAGGUUACUAGAAUUGUUGGUGUAGUGGUGAAAUACGUAGAUAUCAACAGGAAUACCGGAGGCGAAGGCGGGUAACUGGCCGAACACUGACACUGAGAUCCGAAAGCGUGGGGAUCAAACAGGAUUAGAUACCCUGGUA
rnacentral:rRNA from 1 species